GUUGCCAUCAUUCACACACACCCCUUUGACAUACAGUGCACCCCAGUUUUGAAUACAUUUUUUUUGCACCCUGUCCCGUUCUGCUACUUUGAUUUGCGUUAUGAUAUAUAUAUAUAUAUAUAAUACCUUUUCUCCUCUUUAAACAUGGUCCUGUGACACAAUAGUCAGUUGCAGAAAGGAGCCAGACUUAUUCGCAAAGCACUGUGCUCAAACUCUUCAGAAAAAAAGGAAAAAAAAAAAAAGCUAUAGUUGUAACAUAUGUAUUCCAGACCUCUGGUUUAAAGGCAAAAGAAAAAAAAUCUACAGUGUUUCUUCUCAUGUUUUCUGAUCGGAGGCAUGACAAAGCAAGACUGAAAUCUGAACUGUGUCUCCUGCAUGGCAACACGUGUCUCCGUCAGGCCCUCGCAAGGCCCGGGGAGGGGGUUCUACGCCUCUUGUCUCUUUGUUGCAUGCUGAACACUCAUCGCCUUCCUACUGUAUCCUGCCUCCUGCAGCCUCCCUCUUCCUCCUCCUCUUCCUCUUCCUCCUCUUCCUCCUCCUCCUCCUCUUCCUCCAAGUUUGAAAGGUCAAACAAAACUACCACAUUCCCUACCCAGUUAGAAGAAAACCACCGUCCUGACAGUUGUGAUCGCAUGGAGUACUUUUAGAUUAUUAGCACCUGUUUUUACCUCGUUUGUGGGCGUGUUUGUAUGUGCACAUGUAUGAAGUCGGCACAUGCACCUUCUGUAUGGGCAGAGGCGUGGCAUCUACAGAAGAGCAGAUGCCAACUUUGUGCUUUUAGUGAAUACAUU
rnacentral:lncRNA from 1 species